rnacentral:rRNA from 1 species
UACGAAGGGUGCAAGCGUUACUCGGAAUUACUGGGCGUAAAGCGUGCGUAGGUGGUUUGUUAAGUCUGCUGUGAAAGCCCCGGGCUCAACCUGGGAAUGGCAGUGGAUACUGGCAAGCUAGAGUGCGGUAGAGGGUAGUGGAAUUCCCGGUGUAGCGGUGAAAUGCGUAGAGAUCGGGAGGAACACCGAUGGCGAAGGCAGCCCCCUGGGUUAACACUGACGCUCAGGCACGAAAAGCGUGGGGAGCAAACAGGAU